rnacentral:rRNA from 1 species
CCUACGGGAGGCAGCAGUGAGGAAUAUUGGUCAAUGGGAGAGAUCCUGAACCAGCCAAGCCGCGUGAGGGAAGACGGCCCUAUGGGUUGUAAACCUCUUUUGUCGGAGAACAAAACCCGGGACGUGUCCCGGACUGCGUGUAUCCGAAGAAAAAGCAUCGGCUAACUCCGUGCCAGCAGCCGCGGUAAUACGGAGGAUGCGAGCGUUAUCCGGAUUUAUUGGGUUUAAAGGGUGCGUGGGCGGUCCGUUAAGUCAGCGGGAAAAUUGCGGGGCUCAACCCCGUCGAGCCGUUGAAACUGGCAGACUUGAGUUGGCGAGAAGUACGCGGAAUGCGAGGUGUAGCGGUGAAAUGCAUAGAUAUCGCGCAGAACUCCGAUUGCGAAGGCAGCGUACCGGCGCCAGACUGACGCUGAGGCACGAAAGCGUGGGGAUCGAACAGGAUUAGAUACCCCUGUAGUC